rnacentral:pre_miRNA from 1 species
CUGAUCAGCCCGGAAGCUGUUACGUCACUUCCGUUGUAUCAGCUCCAGCGCUGAUCAGUG